UGCCCCAUGGCUGAGUUGGUUACAGCGUCCGACUGUUAUUCUUUCAGCUUGACAUCGGAAGGUCGAGAGUUCGAGCCUCUCUGGGGCAG